rnacentral:rRNA from 1 species
AACGAACGCUGGCGGCAUGCCUAACACAUGCAAGUCGAACGAGACCUUCGGGUCUAGUGGCGCACGGGUGCGUAACGCGUGGGAACCUGCCCUUAGGUUCGGAAUAACUCCCCGAAAGGGGUGCUAAUACCGGAUAAUGUCUUCGGACCAAAGAUUUAUCGCCUUUGGAUGGGCCCGCGUUGGAUUAGCUAGUUGGUAGGGUAAAAGCCUACCAAGGCGACGAUCCAUAGCUGGUCUGAGAGGAUGAUCAGCCACACUGGGACUGAGACACGGACCAGACUCCUACGGGAGGGAGCAGUGGGGAAUAUUGGACAAUGGGCGAAAGCCUGAUCCAGCAAUGCCGCGUGAGUGAUGAAGGCCUUAGGGUUGUAAAGCUCUUUUACCCGGGAUGAUAAUGACAGUACCGGGAGAAUAAGCUCCGGCUAACUCCGUG